GUGUGUGUGUGUGUGUGUGUGUGUGUGUGUGUGUGUAUGUGUAUAUGCGUAUAUAUGUGUAUGUAUGUGUGUAUAUAUAUAUGUGUGUGUGUAUAUAUAUAUAUGCAAUUAUACCUUUAUCCCUACUCUAGUCCACCUUCCUAUAAAUAAGAUGUAUUGAGAUGCUCAGUGCCCCCAUUCUGACAGCAUCCAAUCGAGUGAAUCCUCACUUCCUUGAAAUCACCCAACCAGGGCCAGAAUCCUAAAAGAGGUUCUUUGUGACACCCUCUGUCUGAGAAGUCCUAUGGUUCUCUGUGAUGAAUAGACCCAACUUGUUCAAAUACAGGCAUUUCUGGUGGGCUUUGGCUGAAGGCAUUCACACCCCCCAGUGAAUGUCUUGCACUUCUAAUUGUGUCUCGGGGCAUGCCUGGUGGAGGACCUGACUGAGACAAUUGUGACUGGAUGUGGUCUGAGAGCAGGCAGUAGGAUGAGGCUUGGGGACUGGCUCACUCACUGCCCAACUGGUAGCAAAACCCAUCUGGAGCAGCGUGUGAGGUAUGGACACUCACUCACACGAGGGGGUGGCCCAGUUGCUGAGGAUUCCACCAGUGGUACCCUGGGAAAAUAUCCCUGUGGAGGGGAAUGGGAGGAGUCAAACUGUGGAAGAUAAGAGGAGUACUGCACACAAGGACAGUAGAGUGUCUGUUCCCUGCAGAGGGAUAGUGAGGAACUGAUGAGGUGACUGUGAGUGCCCGGGGCCUCUGUCGUUAUCUUGGAGGAUCACUUUGAGGUCAGGAGUUCAUGACCAGCCUGGCCAACAUGGUGAAACCCUGUCUCUACUAAAAAUACAUUAAUUAGCAUGGUGGCGGGUGCCUGUAGUCCCAGCUACUCGGGAGGCUGAGGCAGGAGAAUCGCUUGAACCCGGGAGGCCGAGGUUGCAGUGAGCUGAGAUGGCGCCACUGCACCCCAGCUUGGGUGACAGAGCAAGACUCCGUCUCAAAAACAAACACACAGUACUGCAUCCUGGGGGUGGAGGUGAGGUGACGGUAGAGAUCAGUGCUACCCUUGGAAAUCUGACAGAUACAGUAAGAUGGUCCCUAUCAUAGUUCCAUUUAAUUUGCCAGCCUCAUCUGCAGAAUCCAGAUGGAUCCUGGAGAAAAAUUAACCAAGUAGCCUCAAUCACAAAUGUUGGGUUGGAUAUUACAUCAGUGUUAGAGCAGUUAAGGGCUCAGGUAUGUGGUGUGCAGCCAUUGACUGGGUGAAUCCAUUUUUACCUACCCCAAUUACAAAACAGUUUGCUUUCAUGUGGAACAGAUAGUAUUCCUUUCAGUUUUGCUGCAGGAACAUAUUAACUCUUCCACCCCUGUCAUAAUACAGCCUGAAGAGAUUUACCAUUAAAUACUGUUUUUUUCUCUCUCUUAACUUAAUCCCGAAUUGGAUAAUUUCUCUUCAUCUUCACUGUCACCUCUACGCCAUCACUGUCAUCUCUAGACCGCUCUGCUGUUGAGAGAUUGAUGGAAUCAUUAUGCAAACUAAAAUAGAAUGUUUUAUCUAUCAAAUUGUAUUUCUUUGUCAAUAGUGUUAGGGCACAGUAGGUUCAUUUACUGCUGGUAAGGGUGUAAAUUGUUAGAAACUUUCUGAAUGGCAGUUUGGUAAUAACAAACAAAAAGCUUAAGUUUGUGUCCUUAAAUGCCUUACUUCAAUACCCAAGGCAUAUGGCCUCAAUAAAAAAUUAUGGAAGCAUGCAAAGAUUUUGUUAACAAAGAUAUAAUCAUUGCAGGGUAGAAUUUAGAAAUUUAAGACUGAAAGAUCUUUUCAGUCACCUGCAGCAAGAAAGGAGUCAAAACCUAUGUACGAUCUCAACUAGUAAAAUUUUCUCCUUGCCCAGGGAUCAUGCUGAGUUUAAGGACAGAAAUGCAAAGUGCAGCCUGGGAAAGUGUUUCAACACACAAAAAUAGAACCACCUGUAUGUAGUCUUUUUGAAAGCACAAAAUAAAGAGCAGUCCUACAGGGUUCACUGCUAUGUCCUGAAUGUUGAUGUCCCUUCCAAAAUUCAUAUGUUGGAACCUAAUGUCAAUGUAAUAGUAUUAAGAGGUGGGGCUUUUGGGAAGCAAUGGAGUCAUGAGGGCUUCACCCUCAUGAGUAGGAUAAGUACCCUUACAAAAGAGGCUCAGGGAGGCGCUCUUGCCUCUUCCACCAUGUAAGGACACGUAGCAGGCACCCAUUUCUGAAGAAUGGGCCCUCCCCAGACUCCAUAUCUGCUGGUGCCUUGAUCUUGGACUUAGCCUCUAGGACUGUGAGUGACAUAUUUCUAUUGUUUAUAAAUUAUCCAGUAUAAGUAAGAUAUUUUGUUAGAGCAGCCUGAACGAACUAAGACACUCUAAGCGGGAAACUCACAAAAAAUAUUUGGUAGUGAAAAACAGUAUGGUGUGUUAAUGUAUGGUGACAAGUGUUUGUUUGCAUUUAAAAAUGCAUUGGAGCCUCGUUUUGAUUAGGCAGUAAAUUUACCUUUAAUACGUAAGUUUGACAGUUAUAUGUAAUCAGCUUUUUUUUUUUUAAGAUGGUGUGAUUGAGGUUAAUGUGAACUGAACUUUCUAUUUCUAAGCUGUCUUCAUCUAAUUUUACCUUUCUGUGGAAAAUCAAUACAAGUCAACCAUUUUUAUUGCCCAGUUAUUCAAAGUUUUAUUCAAAGAGCAAAGAUUUGACAAUGCAUAGAAUUAACAUUGGUUUGUGGGCCACCUUCUGGGCCAGCACCAAAGACUGAAAAAAUAUUUUGCCCCCUAAAAGUUGUUAUUGAGUCUUGUCAAAUCACAUUGCUCUGUCAGAAGGUAAGACAAAUCAGUGUGGACUGAGAGCAAGGUCAGCACCGUGAACAGCCAUUGCGGUUCCUUUAACCCACUGGGAAUUCAUGCAGUGAAGAAGCAACACACCAUGAGGCAAAUGGCUCAAACCCAAAGACCAGAGGUUCAGGGGAUAUAUAUAUAUAUUUUUUUAAUCUGUAGAGAUGGGAUCUCACUAUCUUGCCCAGGCUGGUCUCGAACUCUUGGGCUCAUGCUGUCCUACCUCAGACUUCCAAGUAGCUGGGUUUUCUUUGGGCUAAUUAUUUUUUUGUAGAGAUGGAGGUCUCGCUGUGUUGCCCAGGCUGGUCUCAAAUUCCUGGCCUCAAGCUCUCCUCCCAUCUCAGCCUCCCAAAGUGUUGGGAUUACAGGCAUGAGCCAUGUGCCCAGUCUAGAAGAUCUUUGACUUCAAAGAACAGAUAAUCUAGAGACCUUCACAAGUGAUCAUGUUGGCACUAUGGUCAUUACACUGAGACCUAUAACUGGGCUAGGAUUGGUUAUUUACAGAAAAACCUUGUGGUACUUAAUUCCAAUUCAUGUUAAUUUAUGUUAUCUUGCUUAAUCCUUGCAAAGCCCUUUUAGAGGUGGGUGUUAUCCCAUCUAUAAUCUGCUGCUUGUCUUAGACCAAGGAAGUGAAAGUAUUCAGUCCAAGCAUGCUACCAUCCAUUUCUGGUAGGUUUGGUUUGUUUUUAGUUGGCUUUCCUGUUUAACUGUUAUUUGUCUUCCUAUUGAGGUUAGAUGUGCAUUUUGGAAUUGCAUCAUUUUACAUAGAAACAGCUUUCCAGUGGAGUUGACUAGCAUCCUAAGGACAAGUACAACCACUUUUGAAAUAGAUCAUGGAAAUCACAAAGUCUGAUGUUCCACAAAAUGGAGUAUGAUGUUAUGGACACUAGAAAUACAAGGUAUGGGUCAUUAGUAACGCUAAUAACAUUUUCCUAUAGAUGACUUUUAAUAACACUGGUUUAAUGUCAA
rnacentral:lncRNA from 1 species